CGUAGGGUGCAAGCGUUAAUCGGAAUUACUGGGCGUAAAGCGUGCGCAGGCUGUUUUGUAAGUCAGAUGUGAAAUCCCUGAGCUCAACUUAGGAACUGCGUUUGAAACUACAAGACUAGAAUAUGUCAGAGGGGGGUAGAAUUCCACGUGUAGCAGUGAAAUGCGUAGAGAUGUGGAGGAAUACCAAUGGCGAAGGCAGCCCCCUGGGAUAAUAUUGACGCUCAUGCACGAAAGCGUGGGGAGCAAACAGGA
rnacentral:rRNA from 1 species